CGUCGAGUGGCGGACGGGUGAGUAAUACUUAGGAAGUCUACCCAGUAGCGGGGGACAACUCGGGGAAACUCGAGCUAAUACCGCAUACGCCCUACGGGGGGAAAGCAGGGGAUCUUCGGACCUUGCACUAUUGGAUGAGCCUAAGUCGGAUUAGCUUGUUGGUGAGGUAAAGGCUCACCAAGGCGACGAUCCGUAGCUGGUCUGAGAGGACGAUCAGCCACACUGGGACUGAGACACGGCCCAG
rnacentral:rRNA from 1 species